rnacentral:rRNA from 1 species
UACGGGGGGAGCAAGCGUUGUUCGGAUUUACUGGGCGUAAAGGGCGCGUAGGCGGCCUCCGCAAGUCGACUGUGAAAUCUCCGGGCUUAACCCGGAACGGUCAGCCGAUACUGCGGGGCUAGAGUGCAGAAGGGGCAACUGGAAUUCUCGGUGUAGCGGUGAAAUGCGUAGAUAUCGAGAGGAACACCUGCGGCGAAGGCGGGUUGCUGGGCUGACACUGACGCUGAUGCGCGAAAGCUAGGGGAACGAACGGG